rnacentral:misc_RNA from 1 species
GAUGAAGAACGCAGCGAAAUGCGAUACGUAAUGUGAAUUGCAGAAUUCAGUGAAUCAUCGAGUCUUUGAACGCACAUUGCGCCCCCUGGUAUUCCGGGGGGCAUGCCUGUUCGAGCGUCAUUUCAACCCUCAAGCACAGCUUGGUGUUGGGACUCGCGUUAAUUCGCGUUCCUCAAAUUGAUUGGCGGUCACGUCGAGCUUCCAUAGCGUAGUAGUAAAACCCUCGUUACUGGUAAUCGUCGCGGCCACGCCGUUAAACCCCAACUUCUGAAUGUUGACCUCGGAUCAGGUAGGAAUACCCGCUGAACUUAAGCAUAUCAAUAAGCGGAGGA